CCUCCCCCCAAUCCUUUUUCUUCCCCUCCUCCCUCCUGUCCCUCUGCAGGAGACUCUCGCAGCCAAGGAAAGUUGCAGCUCCGGGUAGCGCCUAGGGGGUCUCCGGGCAGUGCUCAACCGCCGCCAUCCCUUUCCGACUACGGCCCUUCAGGGAUCUCCUUCGCCUGCACCCUUGCUCACUUCAGCCGGAUCUUCUGUGUCCAGAACGCCCCACCUAUGACGAUGCUCCUGGACGG
rnacentral:lncRNA from 1 species